GGUAGACAGCACAGUCAAGUGGAAAGAGAAUGAAUUCUCCAUAAAAUAGAGAUUUGCGUUUAAGCCAGACUAGGUCACAUCCUAGCUAUUGUUCAGCUUGGGCAAGUGACAACCUUUUGGAAACUCAGUUUUUGAUAUCUGUAUAAUGGGGGAUAAUAAGCUUCCUUAUACAUUAAAGAAAAGUACACGACAUUAAAGAAUGUGAGAGACCCUGCCACAGUGUCCCAGACAGAGGAAGAGCCCUAUAAAAGGUCAUUCUCUCUUCUCUGAUUCUGAUUGAUGAAUAUAUGUCAAAUGAUUAAAUGAAUAAAUCCUCUUUCAAAAACCCUUUUGAUAUAUCUUAAGUUGAGCUAAAAUCUGCCUUCCUAUAACUUUUACCCAUUGUACUUAGCCCUGCCAUCUAAAGCCAAACACAGUAAAUCAACUCACCCUUCUAAAUGAAAACCCUUCAAAUAUUCCUGUUUAAUAAAUGGAAUAAAUACACUCCACUUUAAUAAAUUUGCCCUAGGCCCAUGGGCCUUUGCAAGGAAGGCCAAUAUAAAUGAAGAUGCUGUCUGCACACGAAAUGCUUUGUGGAUCACAUGACUGCCACUCUGCCCCAGAGACAGAGGGAAGAGUGUGGGGGAGGGUUAUUGAAAAUGAGCCGGUAGUAGUGGUCAGAAAUAUAAGCUUUAGUCUUCCUAAAGCAAAUCAUUUCAGAACUUGGUUUUUUUAAUUAAAAAUUCAAUGUGGCCAGGCAUGGUGGCUCAAGCCUGUAAUCCCAGCACUUUGGGAGGCCGAGGUGGGCAGAUCACGAGGUCAGGAGAUCGAGACCAUCCUGGCUAACAUGGUGAAACCCCAUCUCACUAAAAAUACAAAAAAUUAGCUGAGCGUGGUGGCAGGCACCUGUAGUCCCAUGUACUCAGGAGGCUGAGGCAGGAGAAUGGUGUGAACCCGGGAGGCAGAGCUUGCAGUAAGCCGAGAUUGUGCCACUGCACUCCAGCCUGGGCGACAGAGCAAGACUCCAUCAAAAAAAAAAAAAAAAAAAAAUCAAUGCUUCCUCUCCUCCCUCCUGUAUUUCUUCCCUCCUUUGUUCACUUAUUAAAAAUACAUUGAAAGCCUACUCUGUGCUGUUUACUCUGCUAAGGUCUUUCCAUGUUGAUUUCAUUAUUUUAUUCAGUCCUUACUCUGAGGGAGACACAUUACUGUUCCCAUUGUACCAAUGAGAAAACUUUGAUUUCAUGUCAGUUUUUUUUUCCAGGGCAUCUAGAACUACAAGUAACAAAACUGGAACUCAAAGCCAGUCAGGUUUGUCCAGUGAGUUCUACUGCAUAAUUCUAUCUAUGGAAGAAUGGCACAGUAAGAGAACGAAACACAUACACGUGCACGUGCGUGCACACACACACACAGACACGCAAACAAUCUGCAUUAGGUCCUGAAGAGUUUUUCCAGGCAAAAAGGAGACAGUCUGGACCACAAUAUGGAGAUGCCUACUUAAGAAUCUGUCUGGUUUGGGAAAUGGUUGGUAGUGUGACAUGCCUGAAGCACAUGGUACUUAACUAAGUCUUGUAGGAGAUGGGGCUAGAUAAGCAGACUGGGACCCACUUGUGAAGCACAGAAAUAUGAUGCAGAGCUGCAGAGCUUGGGCUUUAUACAGCUGUGAUAAGGUGGCUCAGGGAACAGCCAUCACUAUUCCUCUGAGGUUUAAGACCGAUUUUAUUGACUUCCAUGCUCAGUGGCCUGGCUGCCUACCUACCAUUACACUUCUGUCACUAUAUAAGCUCAGGGAUGAUUUUUUUAGUUCUACCCAGGACUAGCUAAAAACAGACAUUCAGCUUUUAAAUCACAGGAGGAAAAAAAAAAACUACAAAGAUAAGAUAGCCUAGAUAGAAGAAAAAAAAGGAAAACAAAGGAAGUCCCAAGAAAGCAUAAAGAAGAGAAAGCAUAAAACAAAAAGACAGGAAUAAGACCAAACAUAUCAGUUAUGACAGUAAAUAUAAAUGGUUUAAGUUCUUCUAAUAAAAAAUAAAGUCUUUCAGAUUGGGUUAAAAGCAAAACUCAACCAUAUGCUGCUUACAAAAGACAAACGGUAAAAGAAAAAUGAGAGAGAAAAGGGGAAUUGGUGAAAGCUAGGCAAAUAUUUAUCAAGUAUACAAAACAAACAAAAAGAAAGCAGUGAUUGGGAACAUUUCAAAGUAGAAUUCAGGGUAAAAGCAUUAUAUGAGACCAAGAAGGUUAUUUUUAUAUUGAUAGAAACAAUAAGAAAUGAGCUGUUACAUAAUGUCAAAAUAUAUAAAGAAAAACUCUUAGAAAUGUAAAGAGAUCAUGAUAGAAAUAACCUUCUUGAUAUUGAAUGAACAAUAAAAAGACAAAAAUAGAAUACUAUUAUUAGUAAGUUAUGUAUAUAUCUUUUAAAAAUUACUAAAAGCUAUAUUAAUUGAGUGCUUACAAUGCUCCAGGCAUUGUUCUAAAUAUUUACUAUUGCCUCAUUUAAUGUUGGAGAAAGGCUAUUACAAAGUAGGAGAUUAUUAUCCCUGUAUUAAAGAUAAGAAAACUGAAGAACAAGGAGGCUAACUGAUUUUCCUGAGAUUUUAAAACAGUUGCACUGUCACUGUAAGAGUAAGCCUGGUUUGAAACUAAGGCAGGGAUCCCCAGAGCCUGCCCCUUUCAAGUAUUAUGUUAAACAACCUUAAAGAAAGAAUGCAUAUCCUUUCAAGACAUGUAUUCUAAAACAUUGACCAUCCAAAGUGAUCAUAUAGGAUACAAAGAAAACUUCAAAAGAACCAGAAUAGACAAAAGGUGUAGUCUAUAAGUUCCGAACACAAUGUAGUGAAUCUAGACACUAAUGAUAUCUAAACCUAACCAAGAUAGCACACAUGUGCACAUGCACACUCAUGAACACACACCAUGUAAACCAAUCAUAAAAAUGAGAUACUACAAUUCUAAAUCAAAUAUAUGAAAACCUAUUUUAUCCUUUAUUUAAAGAAUUAUCAUGAUCAACUGGGAUUUAUCCUGGACUACACAGGUAAAUAUAGUAAUGUAAUAUAAUACUUAUCAGUAACUCAAAGGAGAAAACCACUUGGACAUCUUGAUGGAUCACUUCUACUGAGUCACAGCCUUGUGAAGUUGGGGACAGGGAUGGUUGUGUUAAGAAGAGGUCUAGGCCAGACAGAAGUAGCUGUUAUAUCACAUGAGUUACCAAGAGCAAUGACUCAAACACAAGCAAUGAUGCAGAAGUGAUCAGGAAUGUCCAAGCCAAACCAGGAGCAAAAUAACCUAAGGUUGAAGAAACCUAAGUUGAUUCUGAACUGCCCCAAAUCCAGGUUAGUCUAGAGCUGGAGCUGAAGCUGCAUGUGGUGGUCAUGGGCAGGAGGGUGGUAGGAUGUAAUCCUCACAUCUGAAAGAAGAAAAUGCUACAUCAAGAUUGAAGGUCAUGUCUUACGAUAUUUGUGGAAAGCUGAAACUUGGGACAGGAUGCUUGAGACAGGGGAAAUUACAUUUCUCCAAGGUGUUCAUUCUCUGAAAUACCAGCCCUGGAGCACUAUGUCCCCAGGAAUGUUCACAAAAGGUCAGCAGAAGCACCAGAAGGGCCAGAGUAGCACUGAGUCAGCUCCACAUAUUUCUCACCUUCCUCUGCUGGGAAAAUUCAGGAGGAAUCCUAGGAGCUCUGGGAUGCAGAGAGAACCAUCCGUGGUGAAUGCCCACAUCACCACUGGCAGAAGAACAGAGAUGGCCAACCAUGGACCUCACUUCUACCCUCCUCAUCACCCCACAUCUCACCACUGCCAUCUUGCUUGAGGCCCUCAGGAAUAAUGUGACACACAUUGAUAAGCCCAGGAAUCCAGGUCAACCCUCAGUCCCAGAUUUUAAUCACUACAUGGCUCUAUGGGCAAUGAGGUAACCCUACCUCUCCUCCUGCCCCAGCAUCCAUCCCUGCUUUAUGUUUCUCAUUUACAUUUAUUAUUAUCUGUCACACUUACACUUAUUAUUUAUUUUUCUAUCAUUCUAUCUCCCUCCUGCAGAAUGGAAACUCUAUGAGGGUAGAGAAUACUGACUGUUUUGUUUGUGACAGCAGUAUCCUCAGGGACCUAGAAAGGUGAUUGACACAUAAUUUGUGCUCAAUAGAUAUCUGUUGAAUGAGUGAAUUCUAAUAUUUUCUACACUAUACUAAGUGUGAUAAUUAACUGUUGGAGGGCUGGGACCACAGUUUAUCCUUUUUUUGUCAAAUAUAGUUAAAAAUGUAUAAUUAAUUAUAAUGUUUUUGUCACAUAGGGUUAAAAAUAACAUAUAAUUAAUUACAAUCUGUUUCUUCCCACCCAUUCUAAGAAGGGCAGGCCAUGAGGAAGAACUUCUGUGUGGUUAGGAUGAUGCAUUAAGUAGAAGCUUAGAAAAGGGUUAUUAGAUCAAAAUACAUAAGAAAGGGUUUGGGGCUAUCUUUAAAAAAAAAAAAAGCCAUUUGGGAGAAGAAUGAACAGGGAAAGAAAGGUAGAGAACCAGGUGGCUAACAGGAGAAGGUAGUUAGCUAAGUUGGUGAUAUACUGAAGAGGUCCAAGAGGCUCAAUAUUUGGAAAUCACAUUUUAAGAAAUUUUUGCUGUAUAUUUUGUGAUGUGAUUCUCCCUUUCCUCAAGAAAACCUUCAGUAUAAAUCUACAUUGAUCUUCAGUGAUUGACACCAUAAGAAGAAAUGCAUUUAAAAUGAAAAAGAAAGGUAUAUGGUAAGAGUGAAGCUUUAGGCAGGACCCAGAAUCGAUGCUCAACAUGUGUUUAAAAUUAAUAAAAUGAACGAAUAAAUGAAUUAAUGAAUAAGUGAACUAAAAUCAAUGGAUCAAUUUUGUCUCAAUAUGAAACAUUUCUUAAAGUUCCAAAUUGUCCAGAACUAGAAUGAGUUGUUCCCUUUACUGAUUUUUUUCCCCAAGAAGCAACAAGAUAAUAACCUCAUCAAAAAUCCUGUAGAAAAAAAUAUGUCUGCAACAGGAAUGGUGUUGGGCCAGAUGAAUGGUACCCAGACUGUGUUACAAGAGGUGAGAAGGUUCUGGUUGUCACAUUUCAAAGUUUAUUUUCUGGGUUGAGGGAGGGCCCAGAAUACAGGCUUCUGAGACCUCCGCAUCUGUUUUUACCAGAGCAGCUCUGUUUUUGCUUGUAUUACACAUCUAUUCAUUCAUUAUUUCAUUUAUUUAUUAAUUCAUCAUUCAACACAUAUAUAGAGUAAAUAUUAAAUGCCUCUAUGCUGCAAAUACUGCACUGUUUCUACAAAAAUAGACUGUUCUUUUGAAGUAGUUUUUAAGUUAAAAAAAUUUAAAUGAUACUGGAACUCUUAAGACUUUAAGACUGUGACACUUCCACAAAUUGAGUAAAUAAUUAUUACUCAGUGUACUACUGUGUCUAAAAAUUAAGGGUAAUUACACUUUCUUGACUUUUUUCUUUUCAUUUUAGCUCAGAUGAAUAAAUACUACAGCCUUGCUAAAACAGAAAAACAGUAUAUUUCAGAAUGAAUGAGCAUGAGAAGAGGAAUGGGAUGUCUUCAAGGUCUCAUUACUGGGCCUAUGGGUCUGUUUCUGCAGAAAGGGGGAGUGUGAAUGUCACCAUUGUGAGAGGAAGAGCCCAACAUGGGAAGGGGGUGAGACUUGCAUUCAUCAAAUCUCUAAGUAACACACUUUUUGAAUGAUCCUCCAUUCUAAUCUUCAUAACAACCCUGAGGAAGAUCGUUUACAGAUGAUAAAACAGAGGGUCCCAGUCAGUAAGCAAUUUGUCCAAGAUCAUGAACACGAUAAUCUUGGAUUUGAGCCCAAGUCUGUGCUGCCAAUGCCCUUCUCUUUCCACCACACUUGGGAAUAGUCAGAUGCUUGCAAGCUGGUGGUCUGGUUGCUUCUCAAUCUCUAAUAUGCAGACUAAACUUGGCACAGGAGUGAAUGUGCUGAGCUCCAUUAAUGGGUGAGAGCAGAUUUAUGUGUUGGGAGAUGUGGGGAAGAUUUGGCUAAGGCGGUUAUGAUGCCAGAGACAGGGAAUUUAAAACAAGGACACCCUGAAAAGGGCCUUUUAUGUGACUUCUUCAUGUGGGUUAAUUCUGCUUGAACCUUAGAUACAAAUCUCCAAAGACAAGAGUAAAUGAAAGAAAAAUUAAUAACUUAUCAACUCAUUGUAAAAUGAAAUGGUCACUAGGUUUUCCGUAGUUUUUCUUUUCUUUUCUUUUUAACUCACAGGAAUAAAUAUCCUGGCCUUGCUAACACAGAAGGACAGUGUAUUUCAGAAUGAAUGAGCUUGAGAAAAGGGACAGCAGGAGACUGGAUUUUGAUUGAUUUCUCAUCUGAAAGAAAGAAGGCUGUGAGGACAUCUAUGAGUGCACAGCAACUUCUGCAGGGCUGGAGGAAGCUGAGGGGGAGGGGUGCAGUGAGGUAGUGGUAGCAAGAAGUAACCAAUUCUCAACUCAACACAUGAUGCUUGGUGUUUUCCAAAUAUGAUCUUAUUUAAUCCUCAUUCAUUUACUCAUUCAAAAAAUACUUGUUGAGUGCCCACCCUAGGCCAUAUCCCCCUGAGGACAUAGAAGUGAACAAAGCUGACAACGUCCCUGCCCCCAUGGAGCUGGCAUUCUAGGAGCUGGUAAUCAGGAUGGCAGUGAGGCAGGCACUUGCUUGCAGAAGAACAGGCCUAGUUUUUUAAGAAGCCACAAAAGUGUCUUUGGAUGAUUAGGAUCUAAGGGGCCAACAGCUUUGCAAUAACAGCAUAAAUAUUGUGGGCUGGAUGGACAGGCACCAAAUGGGGACAUUCCAUCCUGCUGUGUGAUGAGAAAGCUGCCACUUUUGAGGCCUUCCAAAACAAAUCAACACUCCAUAUGCCAGAAGGAAAAGCCCAGGAAAGACCUAUUCCAACUGGAGAUGGUGAAUGUCAUUUCUUCAAGAAGCUGAGAUCCAGCUGGUACUGCCAGGUGGAGAGUGAGUUGGGUAGCUGACCUCGGGCAUGGCAGCCUUGGUUUUUGGCCACUUCAUGGGGUGACCUGUUGAGCAAACAGCAGUGGAAUUCUGCAGCUGUGGACCAAGAUGUAAAUACUCGUUCCCACUGACUCAGAGACAUGCUACAGCCGAGGGUGGGGGAGGCAAGAGAAUAUAGGGACACAGGUGUUGGAGAAAAGUUUGUUUCAGCAGCACUCGCCCAUAGCUAUGAGUAAGCAGGGGCUCACUGGCCACAGAGCACCUGGGCUGUAAGCAUGGACUUUACUCAGACGGACCUUGUCUUAGUUUAUGGUACUUUCUUGCUUGCUAUAACAAAGUACCAUAAACUGGAUGGCUUACAUACAAGAGAAAUAUAUUUCUUACAGUUCAGGAGGCUGGAAGCCUGAGAUCAGGGUGCCAGCAUGGUCAGAUUCUGAUGAGGGCCCUCUUCUGGGUUACAGAUUGCAGCUAGUUGUCUAGCCUCUUCUUACAAGGGUGCUAAUCCCAGUCAUGAGGGCUCCACCCUCAUGACCUAAUUACCUGGCAAAGGCCCUGCCUCUAAAUACCAUCACACUGGGAAUAAGAUUUCAACAUAUGAAUUCUACAAGGACAGAAACUUUCAGUCCAUUGCCAACCUGCAUUCAAGGCCCUCCUUUUCCAUGCCAUGUACUAUUAGGGAAGCUACCUAACACCUCUGAACUCAUUUUUCUAAUCUAUUAAAUAGAACUAAUAUUUACCUCUAUCUCAAAGGGUCAUUAUGAUUAAAUAAUAGAAUAGUUUUUAAGUGCUUCACACAAUAUUAUAUCAUCAAUAAUUACUAGUAUUAUAUAUAACAUAGUAUAUAUGUAUAUUUUAUAAUAUGUAUUAUAAAUACUAUAAUAUAUAAUAUGUAUUAAAUAUGAAGAUAUGCUAUUGUCAUUAUUAUCUCCUACCAAGAACCAAACCAUUUUCAGGAAUAGGAGAGACAUGAGAAGUCCAGUAUUUCUCUGAAGGUAGCAAUAAUCUCUUCUAUAACCUGCUCACAUGGUUAUGCUUUCUCUGCUUAAAUGCUCCUUGUGAUGGGAAGUUCAGCAACUUCUAUGGGUGCCCAUUUUAUUUCAUUAAUUGACUACAAUGGAAAAUAAUUCACUAAAUUCAAACAAUCUGAAUCUUUAAGAUUUCUACCCUUUGGUCUCACUUCUGUUCCCUAAGAUUACAGAAUAAAAUCAAGCU
rnacentral:lncRNA from 10 species